AGAGUUUGAUCCUGGCUCAGGAUGAACGCUAGCUACAGGCUUAACACAUGCAAGUCGAGGGGCAGCAUGAACUUAGCUUGCUAAGUUUGAUGGCGACCGGCGCACGGGUGAGUAACACGUAUCCAACCUGCCGAUAACUCGGGGAUAGCCUUUCGAAAGAAAGAUUAAUACCCGAUGGCAUAGUUCUUCCGCAUGGUAGAACUAUUAAAGAAUUUCGGUCAUCGAUGGGGAUGCGUUCCAUUAGGUUGUUGGCGGGGUAACGGCCCACCAAGCCUUCGAUGGAUAGGGGUUCUGAGAGGAAGGUCCCCCACAUUGGAACUGAGACACGGUCCAAACUCCUACGGGAGGCAGCAGUGAGGAAUAUUGGUCAAUGGACGAGAGUCUGAACCAGCCAAGUAGCGUGAAGGAUGACUGCCCUAUGGGUUGUAAACUUCUUUUAUACGGGAAUAAAGUGGAGUAUGCAUACUCCUUUGUAUGUACCGUAUGAAUAAGGAUCGGCUAACUCCGUGCCAGCAGCCGCGGUAAUACGGAGGAUCCGAGCGUUAUCCGGAUUUAUUGGGUUUAAAGGGAGCGUAGGCGGACGCUUAAGUCAGUUGUGAAAGUUUGCGGCUCAACCGUAAAAUUGCAGUUGAUACUGGGCGUCUUGAGUGCAGCAUAGGUAGGCGGAAUUCGUGGUGUAGCGGUGAAAUGCUUAGAUAUCACGAAGAACUCCGAUUGCGAAGGCAGCUUACUGGACUGUAACUGACGCUGAUGCUCGAAAGUGUGGGUAUCAAACAGGAUUAGAUACCCUGGUAGUCCACACAGUAAACGAUGAAUACUCGCUGUUUGCGAUAUACAGUAAGCGGCCAAGCGAAAGCAUUAAGUAUUCCACCUGGGGAGUACGCCGGCAACGGUGAAACUCAAAGGAAUUGACGGGGGCCC
rnacentral:rRNA from 1 species